rnacentral:rRNA from 1 species
GACGAACGCUGGCGGCGUGCUUAACACAUGCAAGUCGAACGAAAGAGGGAAAGAGCUUGCUCUUUCCGGAAUUGAGUGGCAAACGGGUGAGUAACACGUAAACAACCUGCCUUCAGGAUGGGGACAACAGACGGAAACGACUGCUAAUACCGAAUAAGUUCCAAGAGCCGCAUGGCCCAUGGAAGAAAAGGUGGCCUCUACCUGUAAGCUAUCGCCUGAAGAGGGGUUUGCGUCUGAUUAGCUGGUUGGAGGGGUAACGGCCCACCAAGGCGACGAUCAGUAGCCGGUCUGAGAGGAUGAACGGCCACACUGGAACUGAGACACGGUCCAGACUCCUACGGGAGGCAGCAGUGGGGAAUCUUCCGCAAUGGGCGAAAGCCUGACGGAGCAACGCCGCGUGAGUGAUGACGGCCUCGGUUGU